CAAUAGCGUAUAUUUAAGUUGUUGCAGUUAAAAAGCUCGUAGUUGGAUUUCGGAUGGGACUUGCCGGUCCGUCGUUUCGAUGUGCACUGGCCAGUCCUAUCUUGUUGUCGGGGACUAGCUCCUGGGCUUCACUGUCCGGGACUAGGAGCUGACGAGGUUACUUUGAGUAAAUUAGAGUGUUCAAAGCAAGCCUACGCUCUGAAUACAUUAGCAUGGAAUAACACGAUAGGACUCUGGCUUAUCUUGUUGGUCUGUGAGACCAGAGUAAUGAUUAAGAGGGACAGUCGGGGGCAUUCGUAUUGCAUUGUCAGAGGUGAAAUUCUUGGAUUUAUGAAAGACGAACUUCUGCGAAAGCAUUUGUCAAGGAUGUUUUCAUUAA
rnacentral:rRNA from 1 species